CAAUAACACUUUUUAUAAAACUACUGGAUAUUACGUGUACCCAAGAGUAUAAGAUAGAGGAGAAGGCUCCCAUUAGCUGGGAUAAUACAGGCAAUAGGAAUCAGUUGGCAAUGGUGAUCAGCCCAAACUAAAGGCAACCAACCGACGAGAACUUCACUACGCGCUAGCAUUACUCGAUUCUCGAACGUUGCCGUUGACUGUGGCAUGUGUUUGAAAGUUUUAUGCCACUUUCAUCUGAUUUUUAGAAUGGAUAAAUAAGAAGCCAGAAGCUAUCAGCAUCAAUAGGGUUACAGCCUUCGACAAGACUGAAGUACAACGAUUUUACAAGCUGCUGGAAGAACUAAUGGGAAAAUACAAUUUUUUACUGGAAAACAUAUAUAAUUGUGACGAAACCGGCAUCUUCACCGUCCAAGAUCCUGGAAAAAUAUUAUCUGCAACGGGACAUAAGAGAGUAGAGUGCAUAAAAAAAGAAUGAUCCCGAUUCUCGGACAACGGAAGAACUUUUCCUUCAAUGACUCAAGCACUUCACCGGCUAUACCAAACCUUCUGCACAAGAACCAAUCCUGUUAGUCUUGGAUAGUCAUGCAAGCCACAUUUCUCUGGCAAUCUUUGAGUAUUGUAAGAAAAACAAUGUCCAUAUGCUAUCUCUUCCACCCCGUAUAUCCCAUCGCAUGCGGUCACUAGAUGUGUCAUUUUUUAGUCCAUUCAAAGCUGCAUAAAGGAAACAAUGCGAUUUAUUCAUGAAGAGACAAUUUUCACAAAGAAUAAUUGCUUCGUUUUUUUCCGAUGACGCAGCAGAAAUCCUACAAUCCGAGCCAAUUGUUGUUCAAGAUUAUGCAUUCCGUAUCAUCAACAUCUAAGGAUCUGCUAAGUGUUCAAAAUUUCAAUCAUUUGCCUGUUGUCGAGACAAGACAAGGAAGAAAAAAAUAUGACGCAACGAUUUUAACAUGUACACCCUAGUUAAAAAGCUGUGAAAAAGCAAGGAAAAGGGAAAAGAACAGGAAAGAAAAGCAAGCCACCGCAGGUUAGUCGUGAGAAAGUUAAGAAAAUUCUGCAGGACGAUGACAGUUAUGUCAGGAUGACGAAAAUGACGACGCAGAAGAUGCAAACAACUUGUGUCUUGUGUGUGGUGAAUUUGGACGAAACAAUGAAACCGUUGCACUUCUUGUGGGCUCUGGGCUCAUGCUGACUGUAGUGUGAGAUAUGUGCUGAUCACCAUUGCCCACAUGCUGAUCAUCACUGCCAACCGGUGUUGACAAUCGUGAUCAAACGUAUUUUUUUUUCA